UGGGAUAACUCCGGGAAACCGGAGCUAAUACCGGAUAGUUCCUUGAACCGCAUGGUUCAAGGAUGAAAGACGGUUUCGGCUGUCACUUACAGAUGGACCCGCGGCGCAUUAGCUAGUUGGUGGGGUAAUGGCUCACCAAGGCGACGAUGCGUAGCCGACCUGAGAGGGUGAUCGGCCACACUGGGACUGAGACACGGCCCAGACUCCUACGGGAGGCAGCAGUAGGGAAUCUUCCGCAAUGGACGAAAGUCUGACGGAGCAACGCCGCGUGAGUGAUGAAGGUUUUCGGAUCGUAAAGCUCUGUUGUUAGGGAAGAACAAGUGCGAGAGUAACUGCUCGCACCUUGACGGUACCUAACCAGAAAGCCACGGCUAACUACGUGCCAGCAGCCGCGGUAAUACGUAGGUGGCAAGCGUUGUCCGGAAUUAUUGGGCGUAAAGGGCUCGCAGGCGGUUUCUUAAGUCUGAUGUGAAAGCCCCCGGCUCAACCGGGGAGGGUCAUUGGAAACUGGGAAACUUGAGUGCAGAAGAGGAGAGUGGAAUUCCACGUGUAGCGGUGAAAUGCGUAGAGAUGU
rnacentral:rRNA from 2 species